CUAAUUUGAGAUAAACAUGCGUAUCUAUGACAAAAAUCCAUAAUAUCAUUACAAGGGCAAUACACAUAAAAGUCAGAUGUGUCAAUUUUAUUUUUAGAAACGGUUGCAGUCACAAAGUAAUUGACAGAAUAAAAUGUAAAUUUCAGCAUAUUUUUUCACACAAAAAUGUGUUAGUGCGUAGAAAUGUGAUCAGGCUGAGCACAUGGCCUUAUGGAUUUCAUGAUUUUCGGCGCUUAACGUGAAAACAGUUAAAGCACAGGAUUCACAAACAUUAAAGUUAUGCUUAAAUCUAUAUGCGAUACAUUAUGCAUAUAAUUAUAAUUCAUGAUAAUAUCGCAUAUGGAAGUAACUGGAAUAAAUUUGGACUAUUUCCUUCGGAAGUUUACAUGACUGUCCUGUCAAAAGGCCUCCUUCGUGUUUACAUAUUUUGACAGGUCGAGUUGUUCUGGGACUAGGAACAAUGAUAAAUGAAUACCUGCACCAUGGAAACAAUGUCAUUUGCAAACUUUUUAAACCUGUGCUGGGCGUUUACAUUGACAUUUCUUGUUCAACAGGAAUACAUGAUGUCGACCAACAGUACAGCUAGAUGAAGAUAUAAAUUUAUUAAAAGAAAUAAUGGGACAAUGAAUGCUAAAAUUGCCAAGAAGAAGACUGCCAAUUUACACACCAUUUUAUACAGUUACAGUAUGAUAUGGUGAACAAAAUGCCUCAAUGCAGCCAGUUCUGGAGCUUUGGCUAGACUAUGAACAGUAGACAUCAAAAGAUGAUCAUCUGAAAGGCCACAAUUGUUUAAAGCACUGGUCAACAAAAACUGUACUAUUUGAUGGAUCAUACAUGUGCAGAAUGUACAACCAUAUUUCCAGAAUCAGAGAAAUAGAAAUAUCAAGUAUUAGAGAGAAAGAAAAGUAUGCAUCAUGUAUGAAGAACUGCCUAAGAAUAAUUUGCAAAAUACAUUGAAAUCUAACAAUUGCUAAUUGCAUAAGGAAGUUAAGAAAGGUGUACUCUUCUGGAAAAUAUGUGUCCAGUGCAACAUUUCUUUUCCAAUUUUGUGAGCAUAAUU